AACGUCCGUCGUGAAGAGGGAAACAACCCAGACCGCCAGCUAAGGUCCCAAAGUCAUGGUUAAGUGGGAAACGAUGUGGGAAGGCACAGACAGCCAGGAUGUUGGCUUAGAAGCAGCCAUCAUUUAAAGAAAGCGUAAUAGCUCACUGGUCGAGUCGGCCUGCGCGGAAGAUGUAACGGGGCUAAACCAUGCACCGAAGCUGCGGCAGCGACACUAUGUGUUGUUGGGUAGGGGAGCGUUCUGUAAGCCUGCGAAGGUGUGCUGUGAGGCAUGCUGGAGGUAUCAGAAGUGCGAAUGCUGACAUAAGUAACGAUAAAGCGGGUGAAAAGCCCGCUCGCCGGAAGACCAAGGGUUCCUGUCCAACGUUAAUCGGGGCAGGGUGAGUCGACCCCUAAGGCGAGGCCGAAAGGCGUAGUCGAUGGGAAACAGGUUAAUAUUCCUGUACUUGGUGUUACUGCGAAGGGGGGACGGAGAAGGCUAUGUUAGCCGGGCGACGGUUGUCCCGGUUUAAGCAUGUAGGCUGGUUGUCCAGGCAAAUCCGGAUAAUCAAGGCUGAGGUGUGAUGACGAGGCACUACGGUGCUGAAGUAACAAAUGCCCUGCUUCCAGGAAAAGCCUCUAAGCAUCAGGUAACAUUAAAUCGUACCCCAAACCGACACAGGUGGUCAGGUAGAGAAUACCAAGGCGCUUGAGAGAACUCGGGUGAAGGAACUAGGCAAAAUGGUGCCGUAACUUCGGGAGAAGGCACGCUGGUGUGUAGGUGAAGUCCCUGCGGAUGGAGCUGAGACCAGUCGAAGAUACCAGCUGGCUGCAACUGUUUAUUAAAAACACAGCACUGUGCAAACACGAAAGUGGACGUAUACGGUGUGACGCCUGCCCGGUGCCGGAAGGUUAAUUGAUGGGGUUAUCCGUAAGGAGAAGCUCUUGAUCGAAGCCCCGGUAAACGGCGGCCGUAACUAUAACGGUCCUAAGGUAGCGAAAUUCCUUGUCGGGUAAGUUCCGACCUGCACGAAUGGCGUAAUGAUGGCCAGGCUGUCUCCACCCGAGACUCAGUGAAAUUGAACUCGCUGUGAAGAUGCAGUGUACCCGCGGCAAGACGGAAAGACCCCGUGAACCUUUACUAUAGCUUGACACUGAACAUUGAGCCUUGAUGUGUAGGAUAGGUGGGAGGCUUUGAAGCGUGGACGCCAGUCUGCGUGGAGCCAACCUUGAAAUACCACCCUUUAAUGUUUGAUGUUCUAACGUUGGCCCCUGACCGGGGUUGCGGACAGUGUCUGGUGGGUAGUUUGACUGGGGCGGUCUCCUCCCAAAGCGUAACGGAGGAGCACGAAGGUUAGCUAAUCCUGGUCGGACAUCAGGAGGUUAGUGCAAUGGCAUAAGCUAGCUUGACUGCGAGCGUGACGGCGCGAGCAGGUGCGAAAGCAGGUCAUAGUGAUCCGGUGGUUCUGAAUGGAAGGGCCAUCGCUCAACGGAUAAAAGGUACUCCGGGGAUAACAGGCUGAUACCGCCCAAGAGUUCAUAUCGACGGCGGUGUUUGGCACCUCGAUGUCGGCUCAUCACAUCCUGGGGCUGAAGUAGGUCCCAAGGGUAUGGCUGUUCGCCAUUUAAAGUGGUACGCGAGCUGGGUUUAGAACGUCGUGAGACAGUUCGGUCCCUAUCUGCCGUGGGCGCUGGAGAAUUGAGGGGGGCUGCUCCUAGUACGAGAGGACCGGAGUGGACGCAUCACUGGUGUUCGGGUUGUCAUGCCAAUGGCACUGCCCGGUAGCUAAAUGCGGAAGAGAUAAGUGCUGAAAGCAUCUAAGCACGAAACUUGCCCCGAGAUGAGUUCUCCCUGAGACUUUAAGUCUCCUGAAGGAACGUUGAAGACGACGACGUUGAUAGGCCGGGUGUGUAAGCGCAGCGAUGCGUUGAGCUAACCGGUACUAAUGAACCGUGAGGCUUAACC
rnacentral:rRNA from 1 species